UUCAAUAACUUCCACUAUUUUUACUACACGUUCUGAUAUGGUGACUGGUUUUAAUUUUCUAACUUUGUUGGAUUUAAUUCCUGUAACUAUUGGUGUAAGUGGUAGCUUAAGUGGAAACACAGGAGAUUGUUCUCGAAGUAUCUCAAACUUGCAAAAGAAAUAAAUCAAGGCGUGUACUCCAGGCGAUGAUGAUUGGGUGCACAUACAAAAGAGGCAAAUAUGUACUCAAAAAAGGUCCAAACUACAUCUUAGAGGACAUUGAGCCUUCUAUGUCAUUGUCAUUAUUGAGAACAAUGGCUACAACUUGGGUCUUUAAGGUAAGUAUAUUAUAAUUCCUAUCAUCGAUGUGUCUAAUGUUGCAUCAUUUGAUGUAGGUGCAGAUUUGAGGUCGAAUCCUUUUUAAAAGAGAGGGGAUGAUGUGAUUCAGGGAAGCAACAAACUUACAAAGAUCCAGUUCAACUUGAAGAGGAAUCAAGGACAAGAUCAAGAGUUACGGAGGAUCAAUGUGGCCAUAGAAUGAGUUGUCUGAGAUGUAAAGACCAAGAGCUUGAGUGAAACAAACCAAAUAACAACUUACAUGUUGGACAUGAAAGCAGGAUCAAGUUUGGUGCGUUGGAUUCUAGCUUUGGAAGAUAUAUGAAAAAAAUGAGCAGCAUGGAUGAAAAUGUACAUAACUUUCAGCUCAGGUGUCGGACUUUUGCCCAUGAGUACAAUUCGAAAACGUCGUCAAAUUCUGCACAUGAGUAAAGAGGAGUCAUCAUUAAAGCUAUGCGAUUGCACAACUUAAAAAGGGAUGCAGUUGCAUACCCUAUUUCUGAUCCAAAUUGGAGGUUGAACUUUUGUUUUGUGCGAUCGCAAGCCAUAGUACUAUGCAACUGCAUAGUAUAAGAUUGACGCGAAUUUUUCCAAAUUUUGUGGGAUCUUUUAUUUCAGUUAAAACUCUAAUUUUUGGCAAAUUUUUGUAAUCCUUAGGAUUCUUUUUUUCAUGUAGACUAGGGUUUUAUCAAGUUUCCUAUGUAGAGGACUCAUUAUUUCAUUGUAAG
rnacentral:lncRNA from 1 species